CUGCGAUGAAAGAUGCCUANUCAUGGAAGUGUCGUUUGAGGAGGGGUCGCGUACCAUAAGCUUGUUGGUGGGGUAAUGGCCUACCAAGGCGACGAUGGUUAGCUGGUCUGAGAGGAUGGUCAGCCACACUGGCACUGAAAGACGGGCCAGACUCCUACGGGAGGCAGCAGUGAGGAAUUUUGCGCAAUGGGGGAAACCCUGACGCAGCGACGCCGCGUGAGUGAAGAAGGCCUUCGGGUCGUAAAGCUCUGUCAAGUGGGAAAAACGCUUUCCGGUCAAUAUCCGGAAGGUCUGAUGGUACCACUGGAGGAAGCACCGGCUAACUCCGUGCCAGCAGCCGCGGUAAUACGGAGGGUGCAAGCGUUGUUCGGAAUUACUGGGCGUAAAGAGCGUGUAGGCGGAAGGGUAAGUCAGACGUGAAAGCCCUGGGCUUAAGCCAGGAAGUGCAUAUGAAACUGCCUUACUAGAGUAUGGGAGAGGAGAGUGGAAUUCCCGGUGUAGAGGUGAAAUUCGUAGAUUAUCGGGAGGAACACCCGUGGCGA
rnacentral:rRNA from 1 species